AGCCACCAGUUCCGGCCUCACGUGCGUCGCACGGUGAGGAGGGGGAUCCAUCCCGAAGAACCCGGGAUCCCCUAGUUUUAGGGCUCUUCCCUCUUCUCCUUGAGGCCAUCCGAGAAGAGCUGCCAAACUCUGCUUCUGGUUUGGGGGUUCUUCUUCCUCGUGCUCCACCCGAGAGAGAGAGAGAGAGAGAGAGGCGUUGAAGCCCGAUCCUCUUCGGUUCGGGAGGUCCUUUUCCUCCAUUGCCGCCGGAGAGAAAAAGCCGUCGGAUCCUUACGGGGAGCGAGGUAAGUGUUCCUCGCCUUCAUCUCUUUCUCUUUUGAUGCUUAGCCAUGAGUUACCAAGGUUUGAGCAGGCCAAAUGCCGAAAAUUAAUUCAAAAAGGAGGAGCUUUGUUUGGCCCGAGUGCUCCACUGUCGGCUCGUGCACCGCCGCCAGCCACUUGGGGUGGUCGGGCUUGCUCCGCCGCCUCCUGCUGCCAUCGGGGCCGGCCACCAUGGCCGCCCCUGAGUCCGACCGAGAGGGAAGACGAAGGGGGAGGUGGGUCACGGAUCCCCUGUUUUGAAGAAGAAGAGAGAGAUUUAUCUCUUCUCCUCUCUCUCCUCUCUUCUCCCUCUCUUUCUCUUUCUCUCUCCUAUUUUUCUCUCCACCUGAAACUCCUCUCUCUAGUAGAGAACCCUUCGCAGUGAAUUUUGGUUGACCUUGGGGAGGGGUCCUGAUCCCGAGGUGUCGGGCACUUCUACAUGAUCGGUCUUGGAAGGAUGUUACAAUUUAAUUUUCCAUAUUAUGAUGAGUUUUAAAAGAAGAAUAUGAUUUUUGGAUAUUAGGCUCUACGGGAGAUUUGCGAAAUUAAUUAGAUUUGUUGUGGAUCGCGUUCGCAAGAUAAGUAAUGUAACCUUUUUCUAGAUUUAUCGACAAAUUACUAAAUAUUUUUUUGAGUUGAAUUAUUCUUAAUUUACAAAUUUGAUGCAUGGUAUUAUAUGCCCAUUUUUAAAAUAUAACAUGAUUCUGAUUGAACGUAUUGCUUUUGAUAUUAAUUGUGUUUGAUUGAUUUAGUAUCGUAUUCUUUUGGUCUGGAACAUUGAACAUAAUAUAAGAAAAGAUAAUAACUCGAAAUACAUUCAGACUCGCAGUCGGGCUAUGUUGAGAACCCUGCCAAUGAGUGCUAAUACAUUGGUACAUACCAUAAGAAGAUAAGUCGGUGAUAUGACCCUGCCACACGAUGAUGUGGUCAUAGUUCCUCACUAUUGAGUGAAUCCGAUAAAUUAAAAGAAAUUAAGUUAUGAACGAUAUUUGGGUUUUGACACUGCGUGUUUUCAGAACUGAAAUAUAAAACAGAGAACUAAUUGAAUUUCGGCUUGGCUAUGUUGAGGACCCUGCUAAUGGGGGUAGAUACGUUGGCAAUUGACCAUCCUGAAGGACUCAGCGCAAGAAGAUUAGUCGGUGUUAUGAUCCUGCCACAGGGAACAUGUGGUCAUAGUCCAGAAUCGACAAGAUGGAUUGAAUAUUUGAAAGAAUUCGAAUCCAUGAAAAGAAUUCUAAGAAUUUAAGAAAAAUGUGGAUUUCUAUUUUAAUACUGCAUAUGCACUUACUUUCUGCAUAUUAUUGUCUGGUUUAUCUAGUUAGAUUAUUCAUUUCUUACUGGGCUGUUUAGCUCAUUAUAUAAGUUCUUGUUAUUUUACAGAUCCGAAGAAUUAGCUUGAUCCGGAAUUUUAUAAACGGAAGAGCGACUAGAAGAACUGAGGCACAAGUUAUCUUAGAUUAAAAUUUAUUUAAGUUAAAUUGUUAUCUUGGACAAUUAUUAUAAUAUUUAGAUAUUGCAAGGUUUUGUUAUUUAAAGAACUAAGUUUUACAUGUUGGUAGUUUAUUAUUCCGCUGCAUAUUUAGAACCGUGAGACUUUAUAAAUUGAGUUAGUUAAUGAAAUAAGAAUGCAUUUUAAUAGUUGAAUGAUUUUAGUUAAAUAUUUGAGAUAUUUUGUUAAGAUGCUUUGCAUGCUUGUGGAGAGAGUUUUCUACAGAUCGGAGGCGUGACGAAUCAGUUGCAAUACUUAUAAAAUGGGCAUUGCAGGGCACAAGUGUGCGAUGAGUUUUGGAAGAAGGCAACAAGAUUCAAGUUUUGUUCCACCCACAAAAGCUGCUCGGUCUUUGAGCUUGUGACUAACAUUUUGUCUUGGUACCCAACGAGAGAGCUUCAAGACCAAGGCUAUAAUUGUAGAUAGAGUCUUGGUGGGGGAGAAGCCUCGUAUUAUUUCCACCACACGUUCUCGUCCCUCCGCAAUCCACA
rnacentral:lncRNA from 1 species